rnacentral:tRNA from 1 species
UCAUGUCUAGUUUAAUAUGUUGAGAAUGCUAGUUUGUCGUACUGGUGGUGUGUCUGUGGGAUGCGGUAUGAG